AGUGGCUCAUUCACCGACUUAUGUCAGCCCCUUCGGGACGUGCUACAUAAAAUUCGAAUGACGCACAACAAGGUGCCUGCCGUCCAACUUCUGAUAUCAGCGUAGCUAUAUCAACCAUCGGGCGAAACGUCGAGUUAGGCACCGCCUUAUUCCAUAACAACGCCGGGUAAUUCCCGGCUUU
rnacentral:sRNA from 1 species